rnacentral:lncRNA from 1 species
AACUUGUAUCAUAGUUCAAAUUAUCCAUUAAAUAUGAUAAAUAUACAUGUAUUCGCAGUUUACUAUGAAAUUCACUAUCACUGAACUAGUAUACAUAUUUAUUAAGGGGCCAGCUAAAGGACACCACCGGAUGCGGGAGUUUCUCGCUUCAUUGAAGACCCAUUGUGGCCUUCGGCUGUUUUCUGCUCUAUGGUCGGGUUGUUGUCGCUUGGAAUUUGUAUGAAUUUUUCAUCUUUAAAUGCCCCCCCCCUAUUUUUGUUUUUGUUUUACCAAAAAAAAUUCAAUCCCUCUAAAACCAAAAUUUUAAACAUCACCAAAAAGUAAACAGAAGUUUAUAGUAUUUAUAUAACUAAGAAGUGUAUAAAGUUUGAUGCAGUUAUAAUACUUCGUUUUUG